UACGGAGGAUGCGAGCGUUAUCCGGAUUUAUUGGGUUUAAAGGGUGCGUAGGCAGGCUUUUAAGUCAGCGGUAAAAAUUCGGGGCUCAACCCCGUCCGGCCGUUGAAACUGGGGGCCUUGAGUGGGCGAGAAGAAGGCGGAAUGCGUGGUGUAGCGGUGAAAUGCAUAGAUAUCACGCAGAACCCCGAUUGCGAAGGCAGCCUUCCGGCGCCCUACUGACGCUGAGGCACGAAAGUGCGGGGAUCGAACAGG
rnacentral:rRNA from 1 species